GAUGAAGAAUGUAGCGAAAUGCGAUACGUAAUGUGAAUUGCAGAUUUCAGUGAAUCAUCGAAUCUUUGAACGCACAUUGCGCCCGCCAGUAUUCUGGCGGGCAUGCCUGUUCGAGCGUCAUUUCAACCAUCAAGCCUUCGCUUGUGUUGGGGCCCCGCGGCUGCCGCGGUCCCCUAAAUCCAGUGGCGGGCUCGUCGUCGUACCGAGCGCAGUAGACAUCCUCGCUCCGGGAACCCGACGGGUGCCGGCCGUGAAACCCCCCACAUCAAGGUUGACCUCGGAUCAGGUAGGAAUACCCGCUGAACUUAAGCAUAUCAAUAAGCGGAGGA
rnacentral:misc_RNA from 1 species